AUUUUUCUGCUUAGGAAUAUGAUGAACCUAUCUUGAAACAUCUGCAGGAUAUUAAAGUUAAGUUUUCUGAACCUGGACAGCCUAUGUCUUUCUCAUUAGAGUUCCACUUUGGGCCCAAUGACUACUUCUCUAAUUCAGUCCUGACAAAAACAUACAAGAUGAAGUCGGAGCCAGACAAGACAGAUCCCUUUUCAUUUGAAGGACCUGAAAUAGUUGAUUGUGAGGGGUGUACUAUUGACUGGAAGAAAGGAAAAAAUGUUACAGUUAAAACAAUCAAGAAAAAGCAGAAACACAAGGGUCGAGGCACAGUUCGGACAAUUACCAAACAAGUACCUAAUGAUUCUUUUUUUAACUUCUUCAGCCCUAUAAAGGUAUCUGGUGAUGGAGAGUCAUUGGAUGAAGAUUCAGAAUAUACUUUAGCUGCAGAUUUUGAAAUUGGACACUUCUUCCGUGAAAGGAUAGUCCCUCGUGCUGUGUUGUAUUUCACUGGUGAAGCUAUAGAGGAUGAUGAUAAUUUUGAAGAAGAUGAAGAAGGUGAAGAGGAGUUUAUCUCUAUUUUGUCAUAGGAGUUGGAGGGGGAAGAGGAGGGAGAAGAGGAAGAAGAUGCAGAGGGUGAUCCUAAGGUGUAAUAUAAGUCUGUUUAUCAUUCAUACAUUUCUAGAAAGAGUCCAGCCAACCUGCUGAAUGCAAACAACAGUAAUAAGGAAAUACCACUUGGAAGUGAUAUUUGAACAACUUGUAACAAAUAGUUGGAUACCUGGCCUGCAGUUCAGGAUAUUCCAUCGCUGCAGCACAAUCUUAUUAACAAUGCUUACAAUUAAUUUGUUUUAAAAUGCAUGAUUUUCACUAACUUUAUUGCUUAACAUGUACAGUGGCAACUUCAAUGCAUUUGGGAAAUAUGAGGUUUAAAUAAAGCACACUCUACAGCCGUUGGUACACUGUAGCUAAGUAUGUCAAUAGGCCUUUAGAGCCUUUUGCCCUAUGCAUAGGGGAAUAGUCCAGACUACCAUGUGAGGAUUAUCCAUUUUCUCAUUAAACAUUGAAAAUCGUGGAAUAGCAAUGUGCUGAGAAGCUAAAGUAAAUGGAUUACAUGUAUGGUAGCUGAAACAGAUAGAGCAAUAUGACUUUUUUGCUAGUUCCCUCCCCCCUUUUUUAAUGUUUCUGGCAACCUACAAAUUGAACUAGUGCUUGAGCAGCUUUAAAUGUCGUAUUUAUUAUCUCAGUACAACCAAUCGAGUUGAAGUAAUUUUACUUCAUUGAAGAGGGUGUCAUAUUUGAGACUUAGUUGUUCAUCUUACUAUUUAUUUAUUCAUGUUUGUAAGUACUUUGACAGGAUUAGUGCUUUUUAAUAGUUUUUAAUAUACUUGAAAAAUCUUCUUCCUCUUUUGCAUACAAUAUGGGUACUUGUAAAACAAAUAAUUCAAAUUGGUCUCAAUGUAGUAGUCUAGACAGAAGAAACAAACUUGCAUCAAAAUGACAACUCUUCUGGACGAAGAUCAAAAUGCAAAGGCCAAACUGUUGCUGUUGAUGGAAGUGGGUUGCAGCCAAAGAACCAGAACAUUUCCAGUAGUCUUACUGCUUAGUGUCCAGCAUGAAAGGACCUUUCGCUCUGAACACGGAAAUUUAUCAAAAUGAACCAGUUCAAUAAAUCUGAAGUUUGGGUGUCUUACUUGCAACACUGAAAUUAUUCCAUUCCACACUUUGUUUUAUUUAAAGUUCUGAAGUCUUCAAAACUACCUUUUGUUGUUGUGUGGCACUUCAGGUACACGUUUCUAGUUUCAGCAUCCAUUGCCAACCUCUGGCAGCAGUUGAAUAGCAGCUGUAUCAACACUGUGACCAGGCAUGUAGAGUGCUCCAGCCUUACCUUACACAUUUGUAACUUAAUACAGUGUUUUCAAUUUGUACAGAAUAGAUAGAAUAUUCUAUUAAAGUUGUGAAACAUGA